rnacentral:snoRNA from 14 species
CCCUCCUACAAAGGCGUGUCUGUGACUCCCUGUGUUUGGACACGUAAGAAUUGGAGGCAAAGAAAUGUGGACUUGGGGAAGUUCUGGGACCAGCUUGUUCCGUGCAGGCUCAGGAUCAACCAUCCCACAGAG